rnacentral:rRNA from 1 species
AUGCACGCUGGCGGCGUGCCUAAUACAUGCAAGUCGAGCGAACGGACGAGAAGCUUGCUUCUCUGAUGUUAGCGGCGGACGGGUGAGUAACACGUGGAUAACCUACCUAUAAGACUGGGAUAACUUCGGGAAACCGGAGCUAAUACCGGAUAAUAUUUUGAACCGCAUGGUUCAAAAGUGAAAGACGGUCUUGCUGUCACUUAUAGAUGGAUCCGCGCUGCAUUAGCUAGUUGGUAAGGUAACGGCUUACCAAGGCAACGAUGCAUAGCCGACCUGAGAGGGUGAUCGGCCACACUGGAACUGAGACACGGUCCAGACUCCUACGGGAGGCAGCAGUAGGGAAUCUUCCGCAAUGGGCGAAAGCCUGACGGAGCAACGCCGCGUGAGUGAUGAAGGUCUUCGGAUCGUAAAACUCUGUUAUUAGGGAAGAACAUAUGUGUAAGUAACUGUGCUCAUCUUGACGGUACCUAAUCAGAAAGCCACGGCUAACUACGUG